rnacentral:lncRNA from 1 species
UGGUGACCUUCUGCUGUUGUCUUUUCUAUGGUCGGGUUGUUGUCUCUUUGACACAUUCCCAAUUUCCAUUCACAAUUUUAAUAGUUUACAAAAUACUAUACAUGUACAAAACAAACCAAACAACAUACACGGUUCUUCUGCUGCACCAUCGACUUACCACUGUCAUAUAACUUAUUAUUCAUAAGUCGAUUAGUAUAUGCUUCUUGUCUAACCCUUGUCUAAGAUGUAACCAAAUGUACCUCCUAUAGAUUUAUAGGAGUAUGAUUGGAUAAUGGACUACACGUAGUGACCAUAUAUAUUUGGUGUUGGUGUGCCCUAAAAAUACAUAGUUAGUUACCAUAUAGGGUUAGCAACCAUAUGGGAUUAGUAAGGAGUUACUUCCCUUUCAAAACAAAAAAGAAAUCUGAAAGGUUUAAACAGACGAAGAAACUAAUAAUGAAUGAUCAAAAUACAUAUGUUUGCACCUGUCCUAAGUCAGGAUCUGAUGUUCAGUAGUUGUCGUGUGUUGAUAUGGUUCAUAAGUGUUCAUCGUUACUCGUUUUAUAUAUAGAUUAGACCGGUGGUUUUUCCGUUUUGAGCCACGGCGCUGUGCUGAAGACGGUACCUUGACCUUUAAUAAUUCAGUUUUAUAAAUUUUGACUUGGAUGGAAAAUUGUCUCAUUGGCAAUCAUACCACAUUUUCCUAUAUCUAUAAAUGAAAAUAUGUAAAGCU